rnacentral:misc_RNA from 1 species
UCACCGCUUGCGCGGGCAGUCUCAUUAGAGUCCCCAGCUUAACCUGAUGGCAACUAAUGAUAGGGGUUGCGCUCGUUACGGGACUUAACCCAACACCUCACGACACGAGCUGACGACAGCCAUGCAGCACCUGUGCACACUGGUAUUGCUACCUCGUCACCCUUUCAGGCUUCUACUAUGUGCAUGUCAAGGCCAGGUAAGGUUCUUCGCGUUGCAUCGAAUUAAGCCACAUACUCCACCGCUUGUGCAGGCCCCCGUCAAUUUCUUUGAGUUUUAAUCUUGCGACCGUACUUCCCAGGCGGCACGUUUAUCGCGUUAGCUACGCCACAAAAGGGGUCGAUCCCUUUUACAGCAAACGUGCACCGUUUACGGCUAGGACUAC